rnacentral:lncRNA from 1 species
UCUUUACUUUAGCAGGCUUUGCAUUACUCUUCUUUCCUUCUUUAUUCUUCUUCAUCUUUUCUACUAAUUGGUUCUCGUGCUUAUGUUCUGCAAGAGAGGUCUUAAAGAUUUACUAUAUUUUUAUCCAAAAAAAAAAACUAAGAAGAAGAAAUGAAGAGGAAAAUAUCCAAUAAAAAUAACCAAAUAAAUAACCAUCAGAAUUUCAAUCUCGAGGGAGAUGAUUUCAAAAUUAGAGU